UUAAUAUGUACACAUCGAUUAAUUACACCUACCUCCCUGCGAGGAGAACUCGGAGAGUUACCCUGGCCCCUCUUGGGGACCUUUUUUUGUACUCAGCCACCUGUCUAGGUGUGACACAUUCACAGGGGACCCAGGAAAGAGCACAGCGAGACAGCCGCAGCGACAGUAGCUGUCUUAUGAAUGUGAGAAUGUGGACCACACUAGGACGAUGAACUGGAACUGCCCUAUCAGCCCUGCACUGCCUACUUCUGGAAUUCUCAUUCUGUGAGAGAAUAAUAAAUUCCUAUUGAUUUAAACCA